GUCGUGGGGCAGCGCGAGGUAGCAAUACUUUGGCGGCGACCGGCAAACGGGUGCGGAACACGUACGCAACCUUCCUCAGAGCGGGGAAUAGCCUCUCGAAAGAGAGAUUAAUACCCCAUAGUAUCCCGAAUUCGCAUGGAAUUGGGAUUAAAGCUUCGGCACUUUGAGAUGGGCGUGCGGCUGAUUAGGUAGUUGGUAGGGUAACGGCCUACCAAGCCAACGAUCAGUAGCUGAUGUGAGAGCAUGAUCAGCCACACGGGCACUGAGACACGGGCCCGACUCCUACGGGAGGCAGCAGUGAGGAAUAUUGGUCAAUGGAGGAAACUCUGAACCAGCCAUGCCGCGUGAAGGAUGAAGGUCCUCUGGAUUGUAAACUUCUUUUAUAGAAGAAGAAACCCCAGUAUUCUUACUGGGUUGACGGUACUCUAUGAAUAAGCACCGGCUAACUCUGUGCCAGCAGCCGCGGUAAUACGGAGGAUCCAAGCGUUAUCCGGAUUUAUUGGGUUUAAAGGGUGCGUAGGCGGACCCAUAAGUCAGUGGUGAAAGUUUGCAGCUUAACUGUAAAAUUGCCGUUGAAACUGUGGGUCUUGAGUGUAAAUAAAGUAGGCGGAAUGUGUUGUGUAGCGGUGAAAUGCUUAGAUAUAACACAGAACACCAAUUGCGAAGGCAGCUUACUGGGAUACAACUGACGCUGAGGCACGAAAGCGUGGGGAUCAAACAGGAUUAGAUACCCUGGUAGUCCACGCAGUAAACGAUGAAUACUAGCUGUAUGCGAUAUACUGUAUGUGGCACAGCGAAAGCGUUAAGUAUUCCACCUGGGGAGUACGUUCGCAAGAAUGAAACUCAAAGGAAUUGACGGGGGCCCGCACAAGCGGAGGAACAUGUGGUUUAAUUCGAUGAUACGCGAGGAACCUUACCCGGGGCUUGAAAUGCAUCUGACCGACUUGGAAACAGGUCUUCUAGCAAUAGCAGAUGUGUAGGUGCUGCAUG
rnacentral:rRNA from 1 species